GCCAGCAUGGUAUAGUGGUUUGAGCAUUGGACUAUGACUCUGUAGACCAGGGUUUGAAUCCCUGCUCAGCCA
rnacentral:tRNA from 1 species